GGCUACAGAACGAACGCUGGCGGCAUGCCUAACACAUGCAAGUCGAACGAACCCUUCGGGGUGAGUGGCGCACGGGUGCGUAACGCGUGGGAACCUGCCCUUAGGUUCGGAAUAACAGUGAGAAAUCGCCGCUAAUACCGGAUAAUGUCUUCGGACCAAAGAUUUAUCGCCUUUGGAUGGGCCCGCGUUGGAUUAGCUAGUUGGUGGGGUAAAGGCUCACCAAGGCGACGAUCCAUAGCUGGUCUUAGAGGAUGAUCAGCCACACUGGGACUGAGACACGGCCCAGACUCCUACGGGAGGCAGCAGUGGGGAAUAUUGGACAAUGGGCGAAAGCCUGAUCCAGCAAUGCCGCGUGAGUGAUGAAGGCCUUAGGGUUGUAAAGCUCUUUUACCAGGGAUGAUAAUGACAGUACCUGGAGAAUAAGCUCCGGCUAACUCCGUG
rnacentral:rRNA from 1 species